rnacentral:misc_RNA from 1 species
GAUGAAGAACGUAGUAAAAUGCGAUACUUGGUGUGAAUUGCAGAAUCCCGUGAACCAUCGAGUUUUUGAACGCAAGUUGCGCCCAAAGCCAUCCGGUUGAGGGCACGCCUGCCUGGGCGUCACGCAUCGUGUCGCCCCCCACCACACUUCCCAAAUGGGUAGUCAUGGUGUUUGGGGGCGGAGAUUGGCCUCCCGUGCUUUUGGUGUGGUUGGCCUAAAUAGGAGUCCCCUUUGGUGGAUACACAGCUAGUGGUGGUUGUAUAGACCCUCGUCUUGUGCUGUGUAUUCGAGCCUUAUGGGAAACUCUCAUCAAUGACCCAAUGUAUCGUCUUCUGACGAUCCUUCGACCGCGACCCCAGGUCAGGCGGGACUACCCGCUGAGUUUAAGCAUAUCAAUAAGCGGAGGA